AAUGCUAAAACUGCUCUGCCACAAGUUGCUUUUUAUAGCUCAACAGAUGACACGCCUCCUGCAGUAUUAUACAGUCAGAGAACAGCAGUCUGCAGGCUUUAGACAGUGUCACACAGAGUUUUGCUUCAACAGACUGAACAACUUCCACUUAAUGUUUUUCGUUCAAAUCCUGCAUCAUGGGAAGCUUUUUCAGCAUAUUCAGAAGCAACGACACUAAAGACAGACAACCGGCGGCACUGAGUUGGGACCGUGGAUUACAAUGUAUAACAAGACC